rnacentral:rRNA from 1 species
UGGGGAAUAUUGCACAAUGGGCGAAGCCUGAUGCAGCCAUGCCGCGUGUAUGAAGAAGGCCUUCGGGUUGUAAAGUACUUUCAGUCGGGAGGAAGGUGGUAAGGUUAAUAACCUUAUCAAUUGACGUUACCGACAGAAGAAGCACCGGCUAACUCCGUGCCAGCAGCCGCGGUAAUACGGAGGGUGCAAGCGUUAAUCGGAAUUACUGGGCGUAAAGCGCACGCAGGCGGUUGAUUGAGUCAGAUGUGAAAUCCCCGGGCUUAACCCGGGAAUUGCAUCUGAUACUGGUCAGCUAGAGUCUUGUAGAGGGGGGUAGAAUUCCAUGUGUAGCGGUGAAAUGCGUAGAGAUGUGGAGGAAUACCGGUGGCGAAGGCGGCCCCCUGGACAAAGACUGACGCUCAGGUGCGAAAGCGUGGGGAGCAAACAGG